rnacentral:rRNA from 1 species
UACGAAGGGUGCAAGCGUUAUUCGGAGUGAUUGGGCGUAAAGGGUGCGUAGGCGGUAUGUUAAGUCAACUGUUAAAUUCCUCAGCCUAACUGAGGGCCAGCGGUUGAUACUGGCAUGCUAGAGAGUGGAAGAGAGGAGUGGAAUUCUCGAAGUAGCGGUCAAAUGCGUAGAUCUCGAGAGGAACACCGAUGGCGAAGGCAGCUCCUUGGUCCAUUUCUGACGCUGAGGCACGAAAGCGUGGGGAGCAAACAGG